rfam:Pteropus alecto contig94979, whole genome shotgun sequence.
GGUUCCAUAGGGUAGCAGUUAGCGCAUCUGCUUUACACGCAGAAGAUCCUGGGUUCAUGCCCCAGUGGAGCCA